rnacentral:rRNA from 1 species
UACAGAGGUCCCAAGCGUUGUUCGGAUUCACUGGGCGUAAAGGGCGCGUAGGCGGUUUGCACAGUCAGAUGUGAAAUUCCUGGGCUCAACCUGGGGGCUGCAUUUGAUACGUGUAGACUUGAGUGGGGAAGAGGGUCGUGGAAUUCCCAGUGUAGAGGUGAAAUUCGUAGAUAUUGGGAAGAACACCGGUGGCGAAGGCGGCGACCUGGUCCUUGACUGACGCUGAGGCGCGAAAGCGUGGGGAGCAAACAGG